CCUGAGAAACCCAAAAGAUCGAAUGGGGAGAUUCAUCGUAAGCGACGUUGGCUUCCGUGUGGUGUUGCGAUGAUCGGGACCUCGGUCCCGUGUCACGCUGCCGCUGCGGUAUGUCUGGCGUCGCCGGCGUGCACUUCUCCCCUAGUAGGACGUCGCGACCCGUUGGGUGCCGGCCUACGGCCCGGACGGUCGACUGUCGCGUCGCGUUUACGCGUGCGCGCGGCAGACCUCUGGUCGCCCGGCCGGCUGCCCGGCGGUAUAGAUCGCUAUUAACGGUAUUGGGCCGCACAAAGUGCGUUCAGGCUCGUCGGCAGGCUAGCCUCGCUCGGAUUUACGGACCUAGUGCCGUUGCUUGGGCUUGGUUGGCCGUUAGUCGGCGAUGUCCUCGGACUGGCUCGUUACAUUCGAACGGAUAUACCGGUCAGCGACGCUACUGCUUUGGGUACUUUC
rnacentral:rRNA from 1 species